UGUGCCUGGCAGGGUGUCAAGGCUGAAUCUUCCCAGUCUGUAAGAGUGGGAGAUAGAAAAGUGUGCUGUGAACCAGAAGAGUUCAGUCACUUUAUGCAUGA